rnacentral:tRNA from 1 species
GGUGCAUAGUUCAGUGAUAGAGUAUGUGCUUGGCAUGUGCAUGAGGGCCUGAGUUCAAUUCCCAGCACCA